UACGAAGGGGGCUAGCGUUGCUCGGAUUUACUGGGCGUAAAGGGCGCGUAGGCGGACAGUUAAGUUGGGGGUGAAAGUCCGGGGCUCAACCUCGGAUCGGCCGUGGCGACUCGUGGGCUGGAGCACUGUAGAGGCGGGUGGAAUUCCGGGUGUAGCGGUGGAAUGCGUAGAGAUCCGGAAGAACACCAGUGGCGAAGGCGGCCCGCUGGGCAGUGGCUGACGCUGAGGCGCGACAGCGUGGGGAGCAAACAGG
rnacentral:rRNA from 1 species